rnacentral:rRNA from 1 species
GACGAACGCUGGCGGCGUGCUUAACACAUGCAAGUCGAACGGAAAGGCCCUGCUUGCAGGGUACUCGAGUGGCGAACGGGUGAGUAACACGUGUGUGAUCUGCCCUGCACUUCGGGAUAAGCCUUAGUAACUGGGUCUAAUACCGGAUAGGAGCCAUUUUUCGUUUGGUUGUUGGAAAGUUUUUUUGGUGUAGGAUGAGCUUGCGGCCUUUCCGCUUGUUGGUGGGGUAAUGGCAUACCGAGGCGGCGACGGGUAGCCGGCCUGAGAGGGUGGACAGCCACAGUGGGACUGAGACAGGGACCAGACUCCGACGGGAGGCAGAAGUGGGGAAGAGUGCACAAUGGGCGCAAGCGUGAUGCAGCGACGCCGCGGGGGGGAUGACGGCCUUCGGGUUGUAAACGCAUUUCGCUAGGGACGAAGCUGUUUGUGACGGUACCGAGAGAAGAAGCACCGGCUAACUACGUG